UGCAGAUGUCAUAUAAACAAGAGCUUUGUGAGAUAAUAAGUUGGGGAAAGGGAUUGGAGAGUGUAUCAAAAUUUCCAUAUGCAAGGGACAGAUUUGUGGAAUGCUACUUCUGGGCUGUUGGAACCUUGUAUGAGCCUCAGCACUCUCUUGCUCGAAUGACUUUUGCGAAAGUAGCAGCCCUUAUUACAAUGAUUGAUGACAUCUAUGAUGCUUAUGGCACUCUUGAUGAACUUCAAAUUCUCACAGACUCUGCAGAAAGGUGGGAUAGCAGUGGAGCAGAUCAACUCUCAGACUACAUCAGAGCUUCCUACACCGCACUUCUGAAAUUUAAUAAGGAGGUUGGGG